UACGUAGGGGGCAAGCGUUGUCCGGAAUCAUUGGGCGUAAAGCGCGUGUAGGCGGCUUGGUAAGUCCGCUCUGAAAGCCCGGGGCUCAACCCCGGGAGGCGGGUGGAUACUGUCAAGCUCGAGUCCGGAAGAGGCGAGUGGAAUUCCUGGUGUAGCGGUGAAAUGCGCAGAUAUCAGGAAGAACACCCGUGGCUAAGGCGGCUCUCUAGUACGGUACUGACGCUGAGACGCGAAAGCGUGGGGAGCGAACAGG
rnacentral:rRNA from 2 species